rnacentral:rRNA from 1 species
AACGAACGCUGGCGGCAUGCCUAACACAUGCAAGUCGAACGGGAUCCUAGCUUGCUAGGUGAGAGUGGCGGACGGGUGAGUAACACGUGGGAAUCUGCCUUUUGGUUCGGGAUAACCGCGGAAACUGCGGCUAAUACCGAAUGCCCUCGAGAGAGGAAAGAUUUAUCGCCAGAAGAGGAGCCCGCGUCCGAUUAGGUAGUUGGUGGGGUAAAGCCUACAAGCCGACGAUCGGUAGCUGGUCUGAGAGGAUGAUCAGCCACACUGGGACUGAGAUACGGCCCAGACUCCUACGGGAGCGAGCAGUGGGGAAUAUUGGACAAUGGGGCAACCCUGAUCCAGCAAUGCCGCGUGAGU